rnacentral:rRNA from 2 species
AAUCAAGUGCCUUAAGGGUGUUCGGUGGAUGCCUUGGCGCUGAGAGGCGAUGAAGGACGUGCUACGCUGCGAUAAGCCGUGGGGAGCUGCGAAGAAGCUUUGAUCCAUGGAUUUCCGAAUGGGGAAACCCACCUUCGAUAGCCGGAACUCCAAGACCUCAGUCGAAAGACUGUGGUGUGGGGUUCGAACAGAAAUGUGAGAUGCCUAGGCCUUUAGAUUUCGAUCGAAGAGGUUUUGGAUUUCCGGUUAUCAAAAGAAGGUAUGAGACUUCUGAAUACAUAGGAGGUUUCAAGCAAACCCAGGGAACUGAAACAUCUAAGUACCUGGAGGAAAGGACAUCAACAGAG